GUCGCCGGCUUCGGUCCCACAGCUAUUCACAUAUUGGGCUCUGUUGAAAUCAUAUAGCAUUCCUCAACAUGCAAGAUAAAGGACUUGCAUGUGCGUAGUCCUUAUGAACAUGUCAUCAGUGUAGUUUCGUUACUCUGUCAAUGCAGCUAGGACUGUUCAUUGGGGAUUUCUUGGAUAGCACUAUAGACCAUACUGUUUGUUUUCCUCACUGGUUUUCUUGCUCUUACUAAUUGUCUGAAAACGAACUUUCUCAGCUGAAGGCCAGCUUACAGUCAACGUCUGCAAACCAACUUUCUCUGCAAACCAUUUUGAUUGCUGUAAUCAGAAGAGGUUUUGGUUACUAUAGUUUGAGUCUGUCACACAAUUGUGGUUGUUUACUAUAUUCUUAGAUCAUAAUUCAGGAUGCAUCUCAGGCAAACAUAUGUGCUAUGCCUACCAUUAGAAUUGCAAAUCAAAGUGGUAUUGUGAAUUUGGUAACAUAUUACUUUUUUCUGAUUACUGAGAAAAUGCCUUAUGGCAAAUGACAUGUUUCUUUGGUGGGAUUAGCCAUGAAUUCAGUUCCUGCCAUUUCUUUGUUGGUGAAUUUGGCGCUUUGAUGUGGAGCAUGGUUCUGCGGCAGGUUGGCACAAUUGCUCGCCCUGAAGUGGCUGGCCGCAAUGCUGGUCACAUCACGGCAAAAGAGGUUCCUCUAUGAGCUUGGUGUACAUGCUGUGCUGAAAUUGAUGUCGAGCCUCCACAUAGCAAUUCAGGACAAGAUGUGAGCAGAGCAAACCAUGGUUGUAUUCAAUCCUUUCUAUCUCAUGUUUUCCAGUGUGCCUUGAAAUCAUGGUAAGAUGCUUGAUUCAUAUGCCAUUGGGAAAAUAUGCUUUGGUUCCAUCUCAUUUUGAACUAAAAAAUUCUUAUUAAACACUGUUGCCUCAAACAAUGAACCUCGAUAUAUCAAAUCAUUUUUAUACUGUCUAUUUGUCUAUUAGAAAAGCUCUACUGCGGAAUGACAUUAUUAUUUUUGUGCAGUCACUAGCAGAAGCCAUGUUCUUGACUGAUCUGGAGCUGAAUACAGUAUCUCUUUUCACUUCUUUGAUGUCUUUCUCUGUGAGUUGUUGUAUGACAUUUUUCCCCCAUCCGUUUCAUGCUGAUUUUUGUUAUUUUACAGGUUGACUUCGUACCAAACCUUGAUAACUCACAGAAGGAGCCAUCUCUGCUGCCAGCUCGUAUUUCAUCUUUAUUGUUGAAUGAUUCUUUUGGGACUGCGGUCGGAAUGGCAACAAACAUUCCUCCUCAUAAUCUGGGGGAGCUUGUUGAUGCACUUUCUGUUAUAAUUCAAAACCCUGAAGCCACAGUGAGUAAUUUGUACCACAUAUCAUUAUGAGUUCAGUAUUAUGUACGCCUGUUUGUAUGCAUGUAUGUUGAAAAGGCACUCAGCUGCUAUUUUUCCUGUGAUAAUUAUUAACAAGUUCCCAUAAGAAGCAAGGAACAGCAAAUAUUUUCUUACCUUGGGCAUGAUAUUAUUACCACUUUUCAUAUCCCGUCAUAAAAUCAUUGGAAUUAUGUUAGUUUUGUGAUACCAGCUUCUUCAGAAACAUCCAGCUUCUCAAUAUGGACAUUCAAUUUCAGGAAAGAAAUCUCCAUCCCGGAGAUGUUCAAGAGCACGUGCAUGACAAUGUCUUAAAUUCUUAUAUUCACCUAUAUCUAGAUGAUGAUGAAGGAACAUUCCACUAUAUGGACCUGCAAUUCUUUGUAAGCACAUAGAGUCGUUCGAUAUACAUUCUUUUCUUGGACAUAUCAUAUUGUUCUCACUUGAUAUGGAAUCUCGAACUGUAUCUAUAUUGGACCCAAUGCCCAUACCUCACAAUUUUAAGUUGUGAUUUUACUCUAUGGAUGUGUUUGUGUAAUCAACAUAA